UUAUUUGCCUAUCCAGCCCCAUCCCUCUUGCUUUCUGGUCCAGAAACAGCAGUUCCAGAGGAUACUCCAAGAUGAGCUUCCAGGCCCAGCUCCUGUGUCUCCUGGUGAUGGGCUUUCAGGACUGCACAGGGUGGCACGUCCUGACUCAGGCCCCAGAGACCCUGGCAGCGCCUCAGGACAGCUUCGUCUCCAUCACCUGUAGAAGCAGUGUGGACGUAGGUACCUCCAUGGCCUGGUACCAACAGAAACCCAACGAGCCUCCCCGGCUGCUCAUCUUUGGGGCUUCUGCCCGGGCCGCUGGAACCCCAUCCAGGUUCCGGGGAAGUGGCUCUGGCUCUGACUUCUCCCUCACCAUCCAUGGAGUGGAGGCUGAGGACAUCGGGGUGUAUUACUGCCAGCAGCACGUCAGCUGGCCUCCCACAGCGACAGAUCCCCAAACAAAAAUACCCUGUCUGCGUCAUGGAUGCUGGUUGUUGAACCCAGACACCUGCUUCCUGCAGGAGGCCACGGCGUGA